rnacentral:rRNA from 1 species
GACGAACCGAGCGAACGUUGUUCGGAAUCACUGGGCUUAAAGGGCGCGUAGGCGGCUUGCCAAGUCAGUGGUGAAAUCCUGCAGCUUAACUGCAGAAGUGCCUUUGAUACUGGCGAGCUAGAGGGAGGUAGGGGUAUGUGGAACUUCUGGUGGAGCGGUGAAAUGCGUUGAUAUCAGAAGGAACGCCGGUGGCGAAAGCGACGUACUGGACCUCUUCUGACGCUGAGGCGCGAAAGCUAGGGGAGCAAACGGG